rnacentral:rRNA from 1 species
GUACGCUGGCGGCACGCCUAACACAUGCAAGUCGAACGAAGUAGCAAUACUUAGUGGCAGACGGGUGAGUAACAUGUAGGUAUCUGCCCUUUGGCCUGGAAUAACACGAGGAAACUUGUGCUAAUACCGGAUAAGUCUUUACGGAGAAAGCUUUAUGCACCACUGGAUGAGCCUGCACUUGAUUAGUUUGUUGGUAGGGUAAUGGCCUACCAAGACUGUGAUCAAUAGCUGAUUUGAGAGGAAGACCAGCCACAUUGGGACUGAGACACGGCCCAGACUCCUACGGGAGGCAGCAGUAAGGAAUCUUGCACAAUGGGGGAAACCCUGAUGCAGCGAUGCCGCGUGAGUGAAGAAGGCCUUUGGGUUGUAAAACUCUUUCGUCGGGGAAGAAAAUGACUGUACCCGAAUAAGAAGGU